UACAGAGGUCUCAAGCGUUGUUCGGAUUCAUUGGGCGUAAAGGGUGCGUAGGUGGCGCCGUAAGUCAGGGGUGAAAUUUCGGAGCUUAACUCCGAAACUGCAUUUGAUACUGCGGUGCUUGAGGACUGGAGAGGAGACUGGAAUUCACGGUGUAGCAGUGAAAUGCGUAGAUAUCGGGAAGAACAUCGGUGGCGAAGGCGGGUCUCUGGGCCGUAACUGACGCUGAGGAGCGAAAGCGUGGGGAGCGAACAGG
rnacentral:rRNA from 1 species